rnacentral:lncRNA from 1 species
AUAUCUCGCACAUACUCCUAAAGAGUGGUCACUUCAUGAUAUUAUCGCAUCAUCAUCAUCGCCAUAUUCUACCCUUCCCACCCCUUAGAGGUUAUUUAAGCGUGUGAAUUGGUCACGAAUGUUUAUUGCGUCCUAUUACCCGUCCCGUCCUAUAGAUCCUAGAGGGCAUUUAUGAUAACUAUUUCUAUAAGGUUGGAACUAAGCCGAACCCUUAAGUUUAAAGGUUAAAAUACUAGGAGACAUACAAAAACAAAUAAGACUUGCAUAUAAAGGAACCAUAUAAGACAUGUAAAGGCUCAAUUAACCCUCUACAAGAGAACACGUAAUUAGCACGUCUCAAACACAUGUUAUAAGACAUGUAAAGGCUCAAUUAACCCUCUACAAGAGAACACGUAAUUAGUACGUCUCAAAC